UUCAUUUUUAUAAAAAAAAUAGUGGAUUUGGGGUUGUGAUUUAGAAAUUAGGAUAACAAGAACUUUUGUUGAUAGAUGAGUAUUGUCUUAGAUUUUUUGAUCAAUAGCUUGUAUUUUUAAAAUAAAAUUCUCAAAAAUUCUAUUAUAGGAAAGUUUUCCUUUUUGUAAAGAAAUAUAGUAGGUUUGGGGUUGUGAUUUAGAUAUUAUGAUAACAAGAAUUUUUUAUUGAUAGAUGAGUUUCUUUUAGAUGUUUUGAUCACUAGGUUAUAUUUUUUAAAAUAAAAUUCCCAAAAAGUUUAUUUUAGCUCAGUUUUCAUUUUUAUAAAAAAAUUUAGUGGAUUUGGGGUUAUGAUUAGAAAUUAGGAUAAAAAGGAUAUUUGUUGAUAGAUGAGUAUUGUCUUAGAUUUUUUGAUCAAUGGCAUGCAUUUUUAAAAUAAAACUCCUAAAAAUUAUAUUUUAGGAAAGCUUUCAUUUUUGUAGAAAAAUAUUGUAGAUUUGGGGUUGUGAUUAAGAUAUAAGGAUAAGAAGAAUUUUGGUUGAUAAAUGAGUAUUGUUUUAGAUUUUCUGGUCAAUAGAUUGUAUUUAUUAAAUAAAAUUCGCAAAAAUUCUAUUUUAGGAAAGUUUUCAUUUUUAUAGAAAAUUUUUGUAGCUUUUGGGUUGUGAUUUAAAAAUUAGAAUAACAAGUUUUUUUGUUCAUUGAUGAAUAUUCUCUUAAAUUUUUUGAUCCAUGGGUUAUAUCUUUAAAAUAAAAUACUAAAAAUUCUAUUUUAAGAAAGUUUUCAUUUUGUAGAAAAAUAUUGCAGAUUUGGAGUUGUGAUUAAGAUAUAAGGAUAACAAGAAAUUUUGUUGAUGAUGAGUAUUUUUUUAGAUUUUUGAUCAAUAAGUAUUAUUUUUAUAGAAAAUUCUAAAAAGUUUUAUUUUAGGAAAAUUUUCAUUUAUAUAGAAAAACAUUGUAGAUUUGGGGUUUUAGAUUUAGAAAUUAGGAUAAGAAGACUUUUUGUUUAUAAAUGAGUAUUCUUGUAGUUUUUUCUCUCAAUAGGUUGUAUUUAUUAAAUUAUUUUCAGAAAUAUUUUAUUCUAGGAAACUUUUCAUUUUUAUAGAGCAAUUUUUGUAUAUUUUAGGUUGUGAUUUAGACAUUAGGAUAGCCAGUUUUUUUUGUUGAUAGAUGAAUAUUCUUUUAGAUUUUUUGAUUCAUAGGUUGUAUUUUUAAAAUAAAAUUCUAAUUAUUCUAUUUUAUAAAAGUUUUCAAUUUUAUAGAAAGAUAUUGUAUAUUUGGGGUUGUGAUAAAGAUAUAUGGAUAACAAUAAUUUUUGUUGAUAAACGAGCAUUUUUUUAUAGAUUUUCUAAUCAAUUGGUUGUAUUUUUUAAAUAAUAUUUUCAAAAAUUCUAUUUUAGUGAAAUUUUCACUUUUAUAGAAAAAUAUUGUAGAUUUUUUAUAGCCAGUUUUGUUGUUGAUACAUGAAUAUUCUUUUAGCUUUUUUGAUUCAUAGGUUGUAUUUUUAAAAUAAAAUACUAAAAAUUCUAUUUUAGUAAAGUUUUCAUUUUUGUAAAAAAAAUAUUGUAGAUUUGGGGUUGUGAUUAAGAUAUAGGGAUAAUAAGAAUUUUUUUUGAUGAUGAGUAUUCUUUUAGAUUUUUGAUCAAUAAGUUAUAUUUUUUAAGAAAAUUCUUUUAAAAAACUAUUUUAGGAAAGUUUUCAUUAUUAAAGAAAAAUAUUUUAGAUUUGGAAAUUAGGAUAAGAAGAAUUUUUUGUUUAUAGAUGAGUAUUCUUGUAGUAUUUUUUGCUCAAUAGGUUGUAUUUAUUAAAUUAAUUUCAGAAAAAUUCUAUUUUAACAAAGUUUUCAUUUUUAUAGAUUAUUUUUGUAGAUUUGGAGUUGUGAUUUCGAAAUUAGGAGAACAAGUUUUGUUGUUGAUUGAUGAAUAUUCUUUUAAAAUUUUUGAUUCCUAGGUUGUAUUUUAAAAAUAAAAUACUAAAAAUCCUAUUUUAGAUAAGCUUUCAUUUUUGUAGAAAAAUAUUGUAGAUUUUGGGUUGUGAUUAAGAUAUAAGGAUAACCAGAAUGUUCAUAGAUGAGUAUUGUUUUAGAUUUUCUUAUCAAUAGAUUGUAUUUUUUAAAUAAAAUUCUAAAAAUUUAUAUUUUAUGAAAGUUUUAAUCUUUAUAGAAUUUUUUUGUAGCUUUUGGGUUGUGAUUUAGAAAUUAGGAAAACAAGUUUUUUUAUUGAUUGAUGAAUAUUCUUUUUUUUUUUAUUCAUAGGUUGUAUCUUUAAAAUAAAAUACUAAAAAUUCAUUUUUAAGAAAGUUUUCAUUUUUGUAGAAAAUUAUUGUAGAUUUAGGGUUGUGAUGAAGAUAUAUAUAUAUAUAUAUAUAUAUGAGAAUUGUUUUAGAAUUUUUUAUUAAUUGGUUGUAUUUCUUAAGUAAAUUUUUUAAAACUGCUAUUUUUGGAAAGUUAUCACUUUUACAGAAAAAAAUUGUAGAUUUGGAUUUGUGAUUUAGAAAUUAGGAUAAUACGAUUUUUUUGUUGAUAUAUGAGUAUAGUUUGAGAAUUUUUUAUCAAUAGGUUGUAUUUUUUAAUUAUAUUUUUUUCUAAACUACCAUUUUUGAAAAGUUACCAUUUUUAUAGAGAAAUAUUGUAGAUUUGGAUUAUUAUUUAGAAAUUAGGAUAAAAAUAAUUUUUGUUGAUAUAUGUGUAUUGUGUAAGAAUUUUUUAUCAAAUGCUUGUAUUUUUUAAAAUAAACUUUUUAAAAACUACUAUUUUGAUAAAGUUGUCAUUUUGUAGAUAAAUAGUGCAGAUUUGAGAUUCUGAUUUAGAAAUUAGUAUAAUAAUAAUUUUUGUUGAUAUAUGAGUAUUGUUUAAGAUUUUUUUAUCAAUAGAUUUUGUUGAUAUAUGAGUAUUGUUGUAAAAAUUUUGAUCAAUAGGUAUUUUUUAAACCCUACGUGCGUCUUGCUAUCGGAGAUUUAUUCAAUUCGUGGCGAUCUUCUAUUAUCCAAGACACCAACCGGUUCCUUAAGGGACUAUGCAUCACCUUGGAUCAAUGUACAGAGCUGGCAAAAUACUUUAAACAUGUGCUUCGCCUUACUUAACUACCCUGGACGCGUUCCUUGAAAGUGAGCUAGCUGAACUCAUACCAUCAUCCUGUACUUGGGAGUCGCUUUCAAAACACUAAGAAUGAAACACAUAGAGUUUGGUAUCACGCUAUUCGUAAUAUACCACAAACGGAAAGAAGAUAUCGUUUUUGAGCGUACGCGUGUUGCUUACAUUUGGAGGACUUGCCAACUGGUGAAAAACUCAUAAUUAUAGGGAUUAACUUGGUACGUUCUUUAAAAGAUCUUAAGGAAUGCUGAUAGACAUGCGUUCAAGUUCUGUUCCUAUUUGGUCUUGCGUGCAGGUUUGGCUUUCUUUGACCGCUUCUUUUACAUAGAUCGUGCACUCAUGUCAUUUUGAGUUAAAACUGUGUUUUAUAUGAUUAUAGGUUGAC